rnacentral:misc_RNA from 1 species
AAGUCGUAACAAGGUUUCCGUAGGUGAACCUGCGGAAGGAUCAUUAAUGAAAUGAUAAUUUUUUGGGGAUUUCCCUAAAAAAUAAUUCACCAUUUGUGCAUUGUUAUUAGAUAUACUUUGGUUAGAGCUUUGAUUUCAUUUAUUGGAAUCAACUUCUUGCUAACUCUAUCCUGUUAAGGACAGUUGGCUAUGAAGCGGCCUACCAAGGUUUUUUUAUCAAACUCUUGUAUUUUGUCUGACCUAAACUAUUAUAAUUAAAUCAUAACUUUCAACAACGGAUCUCUUGGCUCUC